UAAAGGAACAGUACCACUGCUGGAUAAUUGGAAAGUCCCUGUGUGUCAACCUCUGUGCUUCGUGGCAAGGUAGACUAGCAAACAUGCCCAACCUUUACUCAUAUUCGAGAAAACACUCCCAAUAAGAUUGCUUGCUCCAAAAUCGAAGAGGCACCGUCCUCUGAAUCUCUAGAGCCAGACUCCCAACAUGACUACUUUCUUAAAAAUCGAAGAGAGGGUAAGGGAACAGUACCAUUGCUGGAUAAUUGGAAAGUCCCUGUGUGUCAACCUCUGUGCUUCGUGGCAAGGUAGACCAGCAAACAUGCCCAACCUUUACUCACAUUCGAGAAAACACUCCCAACAAGAUUGCUUGCUCCAAAAUCGAAGAGGCACCGCCCUCCGAAUCUCGAGAGCCAGACUCCCAACAUGAUUACUUUCUCAAAAAUCGAAGAGACACUGCUCCCCGAAUCUUCGAGAGCCAGACCCCCAGCAUGAUUGCUUUCUCAAAAAUCGAUGAGGCAUCGUUCUCCGAAUCAAUCGAAGAGGCGCUCGCUUUCUCAAAAGCUGGGCUGCUCAGAGACCACGAGGGCCGAUCUCAGAAAUCGAAGAGGCACCUACUUUUCUAGCCUUGUCAGCACCUGUCACACGCACACUCAGCUUUGCAGAAAUUAUGGGCAUUCUGUCAAAGACUUCUGGUGAAGUAGAAAGCACAUGAAUCUUACUGUUCAAUCACCCACUUCCCACACGCAACAAUAGCUCAUGGGUACCACAGAUAACUUUGCCAAAGUUCUCUGCCAAAGUUGAGCACGUGAAGCUUGCAGCUCCCACUACAUCGCUCUGACCAAGAAAGGUGAAAGAAUAGCAAAGAAACAGCACUAACAAAGUUUAGACACAUAAAUUUUGAAGGUCUAGCAACCAUAUUAUUACCCACAAGGGUAAAGGAACAGUACCACUGCUGGAUAAUUGGAAAGUCCCUGUGUGUCAACGUCUGUGCUUCGUGGCAAGGUAGACUAGCAAACAUGCCCAACCUUUACUCACAUUCGAGAAAACACUCCCAACAAGAUUGCUUGCUCCAAAAUCGAAGAGGCACCGUCCUCCGAAUCUCGAGAGCCAGACUCCCAACAUGACUACUUUCUCAAAAUCGAAGAGAGGGUAAAGGAACAGUACCAUUGCUGGAUAAUUGGAAAGUCCCUGUGUGUCAACUUUUGUGCUUCGUGGCAAGGUAGACUAGCAAACAUGCCCAACCUUUACUCACAUUCGAGACAACACUCCCAACAAGAUUGCUUGCUCCAAAAUCGAAGAGGCACCGCCCUCCGAAUCUCAAGAGCCAGACUCCCAACAUGAUUACUUCCUCAAAAAUUGAAGAGACACUGCUCUCCGAAUCUCGAGAGCCAGACCCCCAGCAUGAUUGCUUUCUCAAAAAUCGAAGAGGCAUCGUUCUCCGAAUCUCGAGAGCCAGAUACCACAGACCACUUUUUCAAAGUGCUCUGACAGAGUUAAAACAUGUGAAACUGGCAGCUCCCACUACCG
rnacentral:lncRNA from 1 species